rnacentral:rRNA from 1 species
UACGAAGGGGCUAGCGUUGUUCGGAAUUACUGGGCGUAAAGCGCGUGUAGGCGGGUCUUUAAGUCAGGGGUGAAAUGCCAAGGCUCAACCUUGGAACUGCCCUUUGAUACUGGAGAUCUUGAGUCCGGGAGAGGUGAGUGGAACUGCGAGUGUAGAGGUGAAAUUCGUAGAUAUUCGCAAGAACACCGGUGGCGAAGGCGGCUCACUGGCCCGGAACUGACGCUGAGA